rnacentral:rRNA from 1 species
GACGAACCGUGCGAACGUUGUUCGGAAUCACUGGGCUUAAAGGGCGCGUAGGCGGACCUCCAAGUCCGGGGUGAAAGCUUUCGGCUUAACCGGAAAAGUGCCUUGGAUACUGGGGGUCUCGAGGGAGGCAGGGGCGGAUGGAACUUCCGGUGGAGCGGUGAAAUGCGUUGAUAUCGGAAGGAACGCCGGUGGCGAAAGCGAUCCGCUGGACCUCUUCUGACGCUGAGGCGCGAAAGCCAGGGGAGCAAACGGG